AGGAUGAACGCUGGCGGCGUGCCUAAUACAUGCAAGUCGUGCGGUAACAGGAGGAGCUUGCUCCUUGCUGACGAGCGGCGGACGGCUGAGUAACGCGUAGGAACCUACCCCAAACUGAGGGAUAAGCACCAGAAAUGGUGUCUAAUACCGCAUGUGCUCCACGGAGUAAAGCUUCGGCGGUUUGGGAAGGGCCUGCGUAUGAUUAGCUAGUUGGUGAGGUAAUGGCUCACCAAGGCGACGAUCAUUAGCUGGUCUGAGAGGAUGAUCAGCCAGACUGGGACUGAGAACGGCCCAGACUCCUACGGGAGGCAGCAGUAGGGAAUUUUCCACAAUGGGCGAAAGCCUGAUGGAGCAACGCCGCGUGCAGGAUGAAGGCCUUAGGGUUGUAAACUGCUUUUAUAUGUGACGAAUAUGACGGUAGCAUAUGAAUAAGGAUCGGCUAACUCCGUGCCAGCAGCCGCGGUA
rnacentral:rRNA from 1 species